ACACUCACCGCCGCCCAGACGCCUCGGCUACACGCCAGCCUGGACUGGGCUCGCCUCCCACAGGCCUGGACUGGCGCCUCUGGCAGAGCUGGGGCUGGAAUCAGUGUCCAGCUGCCGCCGGCUAGCUGAGCCAUGACAGGAGGUGCUGGGUCACGGAGAAGGGAACCCACACGUGCAGCGUCCCACCCGGGACACGGCCAUCACCGUUCUCACAGCAGCCCCACCACGGAGGCAGGCCUAGCUCCCCCUCGGCUCUCAGGGAACCUGCGCUCAGAAGGGUGACUUAAUUAGCCCAAAUCCAAACAGCUGACUGUGUGUGUAAGAAAGUGGAACUGACGUCGGUUUCAAAGCCAACACGAGAACCAGACCUUCUGCUUCCCACCAGAAAAGCCAUCACGCUCUUGCUUUUCAUCUUUUCGCUCGGGCCAAGUUUCGACAGGAAGCAUCCACUGCAGGAACAUACUGUGGUUUGGGAGGAGGUACCAGGCAACGACUCACACUGCUGGGGUGAGGCCUCUUCCCCUGCAACAUAAGGUCCACGAGAGGAGGAAGUGCUUUUGAUUCAGCUCAUUAUCCUUGGCUCACAGGACGGGGUCUGGCACUCAGCAGGUGCUUGAUAAAUACCUGUAUUCUCUCAGUUUACCCCCCACCCCACGAACUAGCCCUGAGUUGGCAGGUCACAGUCACACACCAACUUGCCAACCCCACAACCAGGGCUGCGGAGCAGACGAUUUUGACUUUGACUUUGUUAUCCUCAUCUUUUUCCUUCUGUAUUUUAUCUCCAAAGAGCUGCUUUCAUACAAAAAAAAUAAACUAAGAUAAAUGCUUUCUUUUAGAGAUGACUCUCUUUAACGACAAAGCAUGCUGAGAACAAAGAACAGGAGAAACAACAUGGUAUUAUUUAUUUAUCUCUGUUUGCCUUCUUGAAUUGACCACAAUUUCUGGCCAGUCUUUACCUGUCUGUCAGCAAGCUGAGACCGCUUGGCCACACCGGACCACAGGCUUUUCAAAAUGGGCCAAGGUCAGAGCAAGGCCAGUGAAGGUCCCGUUUCCAGUAAUGCCACCCAGAGCCGACCAUCUCUUUGCAUGGACAGCCAGAGGCAGUCAGACCGCUCCAAACCAAGUACAAGCAAAAGGGCCUCCUCAGCCAUCCACUUCUCAGGAGCCGUGGUGCUGGGACAAUACAGAUCCUCUGCCCAGCAGUGGGAGACAUGAAGGCUUAAAGCCACACUUGGCCAUAAAGAAGAUCACUGUAAAUACUCCUAACUGCUAUUUUUUUUUUUUUUUUGUCUUUUUGCCAUUUCUUGGGCCGCUCCUGCGACAUACGGAGGUUCCCAGGCUAGGGGUCCAAUCGGAGCUGUAGCCACCGGCCUACGCCAGAGCCACAGUAACGCGGGAUCCGACCCGCGUCUGCAACCUACACCACAGCUCACGGCCAUGACGGAUCGUUAACCCACUGAGCAAGGGCAGGGACCGAACCUGCAACCUCAUGGUUCCUAGUCGGAUUCGUUAACCACUGCGCCCUAAUUGCUAUUAAUGCACAAGAAGGAAUCCCAGAGGAUCCCAGCUGAGAGCCUGCCUAGCAGAUAAGCACACUGAAAGAGCAAGUAUUUCUGUUCAAGGAUUGGUUACAGGGAGCCUAUGUUGACUUCCUAUCUUUAUUCGCAGAGCAUCCGGGGAAGUGGGGGUAAGUCAGGAACCCAUUCUUGGAUUAAUUAGAAGAGACAGACGCACAGGGAGUUGCCCAAGUUCUCAGGGUGAGUCAGAGGCAGACCCACACCGAAGAACUCACUCUGACCACAUCCAGCUCAGGGAUCCUUUGCUCAGUCCGCAAUUACAAAAGGACCAAGUCCUGCAUCAGAGCAACUGCACAGAAUGGGUGGGAACCUCUUGGACAAACACCUCUGGAGAACAGGACCCACACAUAAGCAUGCUCCACAACCUUGCCAAGAAUUCUGAUGUCCACUAACCUUUGAGGAGCACAUAACUGGACUUAAAUUUCUACCUUGACAGCCCACAUCAUUUCCAAGUUCAUUCUUCAGUCUGACCUUGUAUCUUUUCAGGAUGAGGAGGAAGAAGGACAUAGAAUGGUCUUCCUGAACCACCUAUUUGAAGUCACUGGUACUUGGGCUGAGUGAAGGGACUUCUUUCUACACUAUGAGGACUUGGGACAGAGGAAUGUACUGCUACAAUUAGAGGAAUCUUUUUUCUUUCUUUCUUUUUUUAUCACCACACUUGCAGCAUGUGGAAGUUCCCAAGCGAGGGGUUGAAUUGGAGCUACAGCAGAGGCCUAUGCCACAGCCAGGGUGACACCAGAUCCAAGCCUCACCUGUGACUUAUACACUGCAGCCUGGGGCAGCACCAGAUCCUUAACCCACUAGGCAAGGCCAGGGAUCGAACCCUCACAGAGACAACAUCAGGUCCUUAACCUGCUGAGCCACAAGGGGAACUCUUAGAGGAAGCAUUUUAUUUUUUUUAUUUUUAUUUAUUUAUUUUGCCAUUUCUUGGGCCGCUCCCACGGCAUAUGGAGGUUCCCAGGCUAGGGGUCUAAUUGGAGCUGCAGUCUCCGGCCUACGCCAGAGCCACAGCAACUUGGGAUCCGAGCCGCGUCUGCAACCUACACCACAGCUCAUGGCAACGCCGGAUCAUCAACCCACUGAGCAAGGGCAGGGACCGAACCCGCAACCUCAUGGUUCCUAGUUGGAUUUGUUAACCACUGCGCCACGAUGGGAACUCCCAGAGGAAGCAUUUUAAAUUAGAGAAGGAUAUUCCUUUCAGUGGCCUUGGGUGGGGCUAAUCCAACCCACUGUUUACACUCAGAGUCUGAACAGACUUUUCACAGCCUAGGGGAUCAAGCAGUGGAAUCCAGGGCCUGACAACUAGAAGAAAACAGAAGUGAUUCCCCUUGCUUUGGGCUGAGACGCUGAAGAACUGCACCCCAGGAGUCUCUAGAGGGAAAGAGAAGAAGUAAGGAGGCCUUUGCAAGGACUCUAGCAAUUCUCACUCUUGGAAUGAGCUUCUUGGAGCUCAUCCUGGUUUGCUGGGAUGAUGAGGGACCUGGCAAAAGCAAACAGAAUUCCUCUCUGGAAUUAUAACUUCAUCUUAGGACUCUAUUUCUACACAAUUUUUUCUAAAUACAAUGUCCAACACAAGAUUAAAAAUAACCAGAGCUGGAGUUCCCAUUGUGGCUCAGCAGAUUAAGAACUCGACUAGACUCCUUGAGGAUACAGGUUCGAUCCCCAGGCUCGGGGUCGAAUUGGAGCUGUAGCUGCCAGCCUACACCACCAUCACAUCAGUGUGGGAUCUGAGCAGCAUCUGAAACCUACACUGCAAUUUGCAGCAAUGCCAGAUCCUUAACCCACUGAGCGAGGCCAGGGACUGAACCCUGCAUCCUCAUGGACACUAUGUCAGGUUGUCGGGUUCUUAACCCGAUGAGCCACAAUGGGAACUCCAUCUGUAGGCUUUUUAUUUUAGAAUAGUUUUAGAUUUCAGAAAACUGUAAAAGAUACACAGAGGGUUCUCAUUAACCCAUAUCCAAUUAUUAACAUACUACCCUUGACAUGGUACAUUUGUCACAAUUAAUGAACCAAUACCGAUACAUUACAACUGACUAAAACUCAUACUUUCUUUGUAUUUCCUUAGUUUUUACUUAAUAGUCUCCUAAGGUCUGGAAGAUUUUUAGGAAUGUGGAAUCUUAGCCCCAACUAUAGAUCUAGUUAAUCAGAAUCUGUAGUUUAAUAAGAUGCCCAGGUGAUUUUAAAGACAUUCAAAUUCAAAAAGAGGUGGUAAAAGGAAUAUUUUCAGAACUAAGCAUGAACAGGAAAAAAAUACAAAAUAUAGAAGAGAAUAUGAGAGGCAGAGGAAAGACAGUGAGAUACAGGUCUUAUACAAGUGCAGUUUCCAAAGACGACUACAGAGAGAAUGGAUCCGAAGCACUAUUUUAAAGGGCUAUGGCUAACAGUUUUCUAAAACUGAUCAAAGAUGUCAAGCCACAGAUUCUAGAAGCUGUAGGGACCUGAAACAGGAACGAAAGAAAAUCCAUACAUAGGUACAUCAUAAUAAACCUGUUGAGAACCAAAGACAAAAACAAACAAAACCAGCUUACCUUCAGUGAGGUUAUCUAUUGGACUUAAAGCUGACAUCUGAAUAGAAAGAGUGGGAGCUCAAAGACAUAGGAAUGCUAACUAACUCCAGGCUGGUGAAAAAUGUAACUGGUAACACAGAAUUCUAUAUCCACAAAAAAUGUUCUUCAGAAAUUUCGACACGAUAAAAUUGAGACAAAUGAAAAAUGAGGGAAGUUUUUCUCCAACUACUUUGCACUAAAGGAAAUAUUAAAAAGUAUCUUUCAGGUAGAAGGAAAAUGAUCCCAGAUGGGAGUCCAGAGAUUUGGAAAGAAACAAACAAUGAAAAUGGAAAAUACAUGGGAAAGCGGAUCAACACGGAUGCUCCCUUCUAUGGCACCAAGGGGAGAGUCACACCACACAGAACCCUUCGUUCCAGGGAAUCCCAAUCCCCACCCAAUUCUCUCACCACAGGCUCCUUUCCUUGCUCUCAAGCCAUUUUGAGCCUGCUUAGGAAGUCCCACCUGUUUUUCCAGAGAGCCUCUAUUACAUAUGUCAUAAACCCUUUCCUGUCCUCUUGGUGUGUGUGUACAAUGUCAUCGGUCUCAACUUGAAAAGAAAAAUUUGGGUAGGGGUCUACCCUGCUUCUUCAGAGUGGCUACAACAGUUUUCACAUGUUCUGAUUAAAAGAUCAAGAUUGUGAAAUUUGAUUAUAAUCACAAACUCAAAGAUAUGCCAUUCACAAGAGACAUAACCAAAACAGGGGUAUAUAGAAAGACUAAGUAAAGGAUUAACCAGAGAAAACUAUAAUUCAAAAAGAUAUAUGCACCCCAAUGUUCAUAAAUAUACAAUGUACAGAUAUACACUGGAAUACUAUUCAGCCAUAAAAAAGAAUGAAAUAAUGCCAUCUGCAGCUACAGGGAUGGACCUAGAGAUUCUCAUACUAAGUGAAGUAAGUCAGAAUGAGAAAGACAAAUAUCACAUGAUAUCACUUAUAUGAGGAAAUUAAAAUGUGACACAAAUGGGAGUUCCCACUGUGGUGCAGUGGGUUAAAAACCUGACUGCAGUGGCUUGGGUCACUGCAAAGUAUGGGUUUGAUCCCCAACCUGGCACAACACAUUAAAGGAUAUGGCAUCGAAGCAGCAUGGAUUCAAACCCUUGCCUAGGAACUUCCAUAUGAUGCAGGUGUGGCCAUAUAUAAUAAAUAGUAAACAAAUAAAAAA
rnacentral:lncRNA from 9 species